CACCGGUUCGUUCGAUCACCGAAGUUAAGCAUCGUAGAGCCAGGUCAGUACUUAGAUGGGGGACCGCUUGGGAACACCUGGUACUGUAAG